UCUUCUAGCAUCCUCUUUCACGGCUCAGGCUCAAGCUCAACCCUCAAAUCCCGUCUCUCGGAUCACAGUAGUGGGAUUUGUUUUCUGUGAUACCUGUUCAAGCAACACUUUAUCUAGGCACAGAUACUUCUUGCCAGGUGUUGAAGUCAACAUUGAGUGCAAGUUUAAAGCAAGAUCAAAAACAGCAUAGCAAAUGAGCGUCUCUGUCAACAGAACUACAGAUAAAUGUGGAGUUUACAAGGUGGAAAUGCCGGACGUUGAUGGGGUUGACUGUGUGGAAGGUUUGGCCGUUGAAUCAUUAUGCGAGGCAAGUUUAAUAGGGAGCAAAUCUAAAGCAUGCAAUGUACCGGGUUUGAAGACUUGUACGAACCAGAUAUCUGUCAAAUCAAAACAAGACAAUCUCUGCAUCUACAGCUUGAAUGCACUGAGUUACAGGCCAUCCAAGAGAAAUGCCACCUUCUGUAGAAA